rnacentral:lncRNA from 1 species
AAGCACAAGGCGUAUAUUUCUUAAUAUAAAAAAAGUUACCACUCAAAAGUCUGUCCCAAAAACAAAGGAUCAAACACCAUCAAACAACAAGGAUGGUAGCAAAACAAAGCAUAGUUAACAAGACAACAACAAUAAAAACAAAGCCUCAAAACACCUCAAAGGUUACCAUAUAAGUUGUCAAGACACUCUGCUGGAUGAUCACACAAUUGGUUUAAAUUGAAACAAAAAUCUAUCCAGGUGCUUCAACCACCACCGAAACAAGAAUUUAACAUGAUCCAUAAAUAAUGCAACAUUUUUUCUCAUUCCUAGGUCAGAACACCAAAUUAUUGUGUGUCUUUCAAACACAUCAAGCCAUCUUUCAUAUAUAAAUUUUGACCUUUCCACCCUUACAAUUUUGCUAGAAUUUUAUUAAUAACUAGGUUCCAAAAAGCUAUCCUCUCCUGAUAUUUCCAUCCAUAUAUUCAAAUGUAGCUUGGCCACAUUUGCCCUUAAGCACUUGUUGCUUCGUCCAACCAAGUUUCAUUCACAUUGACUCCAACUAAAAAAACAUUUAUGGAAGAUCACUUUUAAAGCAUGUCAUCUCAAAAAAAGCUCUAAUAUUUGCCUAUGACUUCUCUUCCUUCAAACUCAUAUCAUCAACAUAUUGGGUAUGUAUUAAUUUGAACUCAUCAUUAUUUCCAACCUGAACUUUAUCAAUACAUGUCAUAAGUAGAAAAUUGAGACCUUCAACAAUAAGAAAAAAUAAAAAAGGUAAAAAGGAAUCACCUUACCCCAGCCCCCAACUCGUUUUAACAAAAAUUGUAAUAUUGAUUGUGUCAAAACACUCCAUAAUUCAUCAUCUCCCAAAUCUAUAUAUAUAUAUAGUUCUCAAAAAGGGUCUGUAAGACUCGACUCGUAAUCUCGUACGAGUUAUGGAAAAUUAAAAAUGAUAUUAAAAUUUCUAUAUGUGACACAUAAAUGACAAAUAUAUAUAUAUAUAUAUAUAUAUAUAUAUAUAUAUAUAUAUAUAUAUAUAUAACAAAAAAUCUCUAUAAUAGAUUUUUUGUAAAAGUAAGUUUGUAAGUAAGUAGGUAAGGUUCUAGUUCCUUCCCAAUUGGCUACUACAUUAAAUAAAAAAAAAACAUAAAACAUAUAUGAUAAUGUCUUCAAACAUCUAAAGCUCCAAUGUAAUCUUGUCAAUAAUCAAAAUCACCACCACCAUCGUCAUCAUCAUGGUCGCCAUAUCAUAUCAUCUUCACUAGCAUCAUGACCAUCAUUGUCAACAUCAUCAUCAAAUUCUACCCCGGACGAAACACAUUGAACAAGGAAACGGUUACAUGAAAAGGAAGUAAGUGAACGUCGUCGAUGAAAACAAAAAAGCAAGUGAUUUAUGAAAUACAAACUUGAGAGAACGUCGAUGGUGAAGUGUUCGCCGACUAUAGAGGUGAGAUUGGACAUCGUCGUUGAGAGAGAGUAGAUUUUCGUUUCUAAAUUGAGUGUGAGAGAAAGUAACCUUUCGUUUCUAGGGUUAUAAGAUUCUACGUUUUUUCUAUUCACAUUUUUUGUUUGAUUUGAAAUUUGGGACGUAUUUUGGACUUUUUAAAAGAAAAAAUUGCUUUUUUAAAAAAGUUCAUGGGCUCGAUAAAAUCGUCCUAGACUCACGAGUCUAUGUGAGUUGGUACGAGUCUACAUGCGUCUACCACAAAAGCGAUUCUAUGUGCGAGUCUACUUGUUUUUAUCAGAUAGACUCGUAAACUCGUAUAAACUCGCGAGUCUACUCGGAAGUUGACUACCAUGUUUAUAAGAACUCAUAAACACUAAAUAUACUCCAUGUUUUUUUUUACAAAACCCUAUAAUAACUAGUUAUAACUAUAAAUUUGUAAAAAGUAAAAAUAGUUUAACUUUCAUGUAUUGUUUACACAUCACAACCAAUCGUGCAGGUGAGUUUAGAAAACGUUUAUAAUAAAGUCAAUUGUUCCUGUCAUCUGACCAUCUUGUUGAAUUAAUUUUGUAAAAAAUAUUUAUCGACAAUGUAUAAGAAUGAAGUCUUUGUAAAAUGGUUUUUUUUAGAAUACCUUUGAAAAAUGGUGGGUAAUUUACCCACCAACCAAUGAAAAUGAGCAAUUUACGCACCAUAAAAUAUGUUACUUUUCCAUAAUCACCUCUACAAUUAAUUAUAUCAUAUUCAUAUGAAUUAAAUUAACGUUUUUCAAUUGUAAGUUAAAUAUGAAUAUUUUUGUAAAGAAAUUGUUAAUACAUUUUUUUUGUAAAGAAAUUGUCAAUACAUUUAAAAUUUUGUAAAAAGUAUCUUGUAAAGAGACAAAGAAAUAUGAAAGGAUGGUCUUACAAUUAUUGACCGAGGAAGUAGUCUUUCUCAACAUAAUUAACUGUCUAGCAAAGGAAAUCAAUUAGUGUAUAAAUUCACCAAAAAACCAUAUUACGAUAUUUAAGAAUUAGCUAAACAGCUAAUAAUCACUUGAGAACUACACCAUAAAAAAAUUACUUGAAACCAAAUUCACUAUAAUUUUAUAUUAUAUAUUCAAACUUUUUUUAAUCCAUCAACAUGUGUUGGGUCUAGUAGAAAUGUUUAUUUUUUACAAGACGUAGUAGAAAUGUUAUGCUGCCACAACAUUGCGAAUCAAAGUUCAAACUUAGGAUGGAAAAAUUGAAAUCUAUCCCCAAGAAGAUCGACACAACCAAAUUAUUACAAGAGCAUUAAUGUUAUAUAAUGCGACAUGCACUCCAACAAAAUUUGGCGAAGUAAGAAACCACUUACUAUAUACAUGGCUAAGGUGGUAAUAAAGAAAAUAGGUGAAGAAUAAAAAUGGUAUUCACUCAAAUACUAACCACUAAUUUACAUGCUUAGUCGUUUUUCGUCGGCACAUUUUUGCAGCACAAAGCAAUUUCCUUAUUACAAUAAGAAAUACACCACUCAACCUGAUCCACUAUAUGAGAAUAAGAAUAACACAUUUAAUAUUACAUUCGUACUAUAAACAACUCAUGUCUCUUAUUUAAGAACUGUCUAGUGUAGAAGUAAUUUAAUUGACAUAUGUACUACAUUAUGUCAACAUAAUGUCAUGCAAACCAUCAUAUUGUCAAUUCUUUAUCCA